UAAAGCUGGAGUUGCUUAUAUCAGAAAUGUACUUGUACACAAAAUGGAGCCUGCGGGAUUUCAGACAUCUAUUCACACAGAAGUAAUAGACCCUUUUGGGAUGGAGGACUCAAAGGACAGUCCUUGUUUACUUAGUGAUCUUGAAAUUACAUAUUCUGGAAACAUAUUCUACACACUUAAGCUUCUAACAAAACAACCCCAGCAUCAAUUUAAAUAUACAGAUAUAGAAAAGACUGUAUUGGUACCUGGCCAUAGCAGCUUCAUGAUCACAAGCAUUAUGGAUAGAUGGACUGCUUCUGCUUUGGCUACUAUGCCUGAAACAGUAACAUCAUCAUUGAAGUUUUCAUCAGGCUCUUGGUUCUUGUACAACUUUGGCACAACUGUAGGACGGUUUUGGACCAUAGGUGUAAAACCAUGUAAUUAUUGGAUUCAAGAAGAUAGUCUUGAUUUUAUGUCCCUUAAUCUUGUGAAGUAUAUUGAUGUGGGACACAAAGUAGAUUUGCAAUUUAAGGCUAUUCCAACAACAAAAGCUAUGUCAACAUUUCCUAUCCCUCCUGUCACUGUGGUGGUUGGAAACCCAGCAUUGGUGGAAGUUAAGACACAAGGUGUUUUUGACCUCAAUGAAAAUUAUUAUCUAAAUAUUCAUGUAUCUGGAAGAUUUUUUCAAAAAGGUUCCACUUCAAUAGCACUGGUUCUUUGGGAGGGAUCAAGUAAAUGCUAUGCUAUUACACUGCUGCCAACCAUAAAGAGCAGCUGCAGUUACCUCAGGACUAUGCACCACACUCCUGGCAGGCACAUACCACCUGAAGACUGGAUUAGCGGAGUUCACAAGGACAGUCAGGGUUUCAAUAUGAUCAAAACUCUGCCGAUAAACUACAGACCUCCAUCCCACAUGGGAAUUUCUAUUCCACUCACAGAUAAUUUUUAUCAUGCAGAUCCUAGCAAACCCAUACCGAGAAAUCAAUUUCACAAGUCAAAGGAAACUGGCAAAUACAAACAGUGUGCUAAUGUUACCAGUCGGGCAAUGUGCAAGUGCUCAGAACAUCAAAAGUUUUCCCAUGCUGUUGCUUUCUCAGAUUGCAAAGAAAAGGUUCAUCGUUUCAAGUUUCCAGUCACACAAUACCCAGUUGUUUUGGAAAUUUUCAGUGAAAGAGAUAAAGUCUCCGCAGAACCUCCAUAUUUAGUUACCAUGACUGAAGUGAAUAUGAGGAAAAACUGGCAACUAAAACACAGUGAGACAGAAAAUGUUAAGAAAAUGAAGAAUUACUUAGAGCCACUGCUUAAGACUCCAGUGUAUAAUCCUUUAGGUCUCAACAUAACAAUACAGGGUUCUGAACUGUUUCACUUCAAGGUGUCUGUGGUUCCUGGAGUCAGCUUUUGUGAGUUAAGUGAAGAAUUUCAGAUUUAUGUCGACGAAGUCCCAUUGCCUUUUCCAGGACAUGCACUAAUAGCUGUUGCAACAUCUGUAGUGCUAGGAGGAUUAAUUUUUCUAGCAUUUUUGUUCAAACUGCGUAAAAUCCAUCCACUGAGAGCAUUGAAGAGAUGUGUUAUGCGAAAUACUGUAUUCACUUCAAGUGCAACUGUCAGCUCACCUGUAUAAUUCACAAAUGAUACUUGAUUAUCUUUGAAUCCUAGUUUCAUUAAACAUGUUUAUAUAUUUAUAUUUUUAAAAUGUGCAUUUGGUACAAUGCUAUAUAAUUACUACACUAUUAUAAUUCUAGUUCCUGAUGGUUAGCAGUUCCACAUUGCAUUUUCUAAUGUUUAAAAUACAUAAAAUGUUGUUUUAGCACUUACAUUACUUACUGGAAUGGUUUUUUUUUCUUUUUUGGAUUGUUUUCCUAAAUAUAAAUUAAUAACAAAUUCU
rnacentral:lncRNA from 1 species